CCUACGGGGGGCUGCAGUGGGGAAUCUUGGGCAAUGGGCGAAAGCCUGACCCAGCGACGCCGCGUUGGGGAUGAAGCCCUUCGGGGUGUAAACCCAUGUUGUAGGGGACGAAGAAAGUGACGGUACCCUACGAGGAAGCCCCGGCUAACUACGUGCCAGCAGCCGCGGUAAGACGUAGGGGGCAAGCGUUGUCCGGAAUUACUGGGCGUAAAGGGCACGCAGGCGGUGCGCCAAGUCGAGGGUGUAAAGUUACGGCUCAACCGUGACAUUGCAAUCGAUACUGGCGCGCUGGAGUGCGGGAGAGGGAAGUGGAAUUCCCGGUGUAGCGGUGAAAUGCGUAGAUAUCGGGAGGAACGCCAGUGGCGAAGGCGGCUUCCUGGCCCGCGACUGACGCUCAUGUGCGAAAGCCAGGGGAGCGAACCGGCUUAGAUACCCCUGUAGUC
rnacentral:rRNA from 1 species